CGCGGUGUAGCGCAAUGGAUAGCGCACUUGCUUUCUACGACAAGAUUUACCCCUUGCCGGGCAAGAGGUUGCGGGUUCGAAUCCUGCCACUGCGG
rnacentral:tRNA from 4 species